rfam:Ictidomys tridecemlineatus contig081203, whole genome shotgun sequence.
UGGGUUGUGGCUCAGCAGUAGAGUGCUCGCCUAGCACAUGAGAGGCCCUGGGUUUGAUCCUCAGCACCACAU